GACGUAGGGCGCGAGCGUUGUCCGGAUUUAUUGGGCGUAAAGAGCUCGUAGGCGGCUUGUCGCGUCGUCCGUGAAAACCUGCAGCUCAACUGCAGGCUUGCGGUCGAUACGGGCAGGCUAGAGUUCGGUAGGGGAGACUGGAAUUCCUGGUGUAGCGGUGAAAUGCGCAGAUAUCAGGAGGAACACCGGUGGCGAAGGCGGUUCUCUGGGCCUUACCUGACGCUGAGGAGCGAAAGCGUGGGGAGCGAACAGG
rnacentral:rRNA from 1 species